CAAGCGCGGUGUCCGCUGCUCUGCUUGCGAGUGAAUCAUCUGUCUUUUGGCACCAGAUGGUUGGGGUUCAUAUAAAGAGUUCACAGUGGUCCUACAGUCUAACGUCCGAGCUGGGGCUUCCUACGUCAGACGCAAAUGAGUCCAGGGACUUUUAAAUCGCAGUGCAAAUUCAGUAUUGCGAGGAAUGUGAAACGCAGGAGGCAAGAAUGAGGAAAUGAUAAUGGUUGGAGACACAGGCGGGGGCAAAGGGGGGGAAGAACAAAUGAUGUGCACGCAUUAUCCACAAAUUGGAAACAAAUUUGCGCCCAUGGAAACGACAUUGUCAACGUUUUAUUAAUUAAAACCUUUCCAUUAUACACAUCUGCAACUUUUCGUACUCUCUCUCACUCAUUCUCUUGUCUCUGUUUUAAACAAAAAUGUAACUUUCAGUAAAAUACAGCCUCCGGAAAGAAUCUGAUGCGUUUAUAAGCCAUUGUAUUAAAUGAUCGGAAACUAGCAUUCGAUAUUAAUGAAUAAACGGAUUAUAAGAACUUAAAAUAUGUCACGAAGGACAAUAAUUUUUUUAUGACACAUG